AGUGAACGCUGGCGGUAGGCCUAACACAUGCAAGUCGAACGGCAGCACAGUAAGAGCUUGCUCUUACGGGUGGCGAGUGGCGGACGGGUGAGGAAUACAUCGGAAUCUACUUUUUCGUGGGGGAUAACGUAGGGAAACUUACGCUAAUACCGCAUACGACCUACGGGUGAAAGCAGGGGAUCUUCGGACCUUGCGCGAUUGAAUGAGCCGAUGUCGUAUUAGCUAGUUGGCGGGGUAAAGGCCCACCAAGGCGACGAUCCGUAGCUGGUCUGAGAGGAUGAUCAGCCGCACUGGAACUGAGACACGGUCCAGACUCCUACGGGAGGCAGCAGUGUGGAAUAUUAGACAGUGGGCGCGAGCCUGAUCCAGCCAGACCGCGUGGGUUAAGAAGGCCUUCGGGUUGUAAAGCCCUUUUGUUGGGUAAGAAAAGCAGCAGGUUAAGACCCCGCUGUUCUGACGGUACCCGAAGAAUAAGCACCGGCUAACUUCGUG
rnacentral:rRNA from 1 species